UACGAAGGGUGCAAACGUUGCUCGGAAUUAUUGGGCGUAAAGCGCACGUAGGCGGCUUAGCAAGUCGGAAGUGAAAGCCCUCGGCUCAACCAAGGAAGUGCUUUCGAAACUGCUGAGCUUGAGUAGUUAAGAGGAUCGCGGAAUUCCCGGUGUAGAGGUGAAAUUCGUAGAUAUCGGGAGGAACACCAGUGGCGAAGGCGGUUCUCUGGGCAUGUCCUGACGCUGAGGAGCGAAAGUGUGGGGAGCGAACAGG
rnacentral:rRNA from 1 species